AUUGAACGCUGGCGGCAGGCCUAACACAUGCAAGUCGAACGAGUGGCGGACGGGUGAGUAAUAUCUGGGAAACUGCCCGAUGGAGGGGGAUAACUACUGGACACAGUAGCUAAUACCGCAUACCAUCGGAUGUGCCCAGAUGGGAUUAGCUAGUAGGUGGGGUAACGGCUCACCUGGGCGACGAUCCCUAGCGGGUCUGAGAGGAGGACCAGCCACACGGGAACUGGGAAACGGUCCAGACUCCUACGGUAGGAAGAAGUGGGGAAUAUUGCACAAUGGGCGCAAGCCUGAUGCAGCCAUGCCGCGUGGAUGAAGAAGGCCUCCGGGUUGUAAAGUACUUUCAGCGAGGAGGCGUUACUCGCAGAAGAAGCACCGGCUAACUCCGUGCCAGCCGCCGCGGUAAUUC
rnacentral:rRNA from 1 species